GGGCGAUAGUAUGGCCUUUUAAAACAAUGCCACCUCCGACGAGAACCCUACCGCUUCCGACGUUCUCUCAACUCCUUCGCGGCCCUAGCUCUCUCAUUGGACGGCAUGAGCCAUGGCUCUCUUCUUUGACCUCAGUAUCCCCUAUCUCGAGGAUGGAGGUGACCCCUCGCUGGAGAUGAAGUCCCGUAAGGACGCGCGGCUGGAGACCGUAGUCAGGGCUAUGGAGCUCGGCUACGUCGGCAUCGCUUACGACCGCCACUUCCGCGUGAUUUCCGACUCUCUACGGUGCAGCAUCGACCCUUUCCCUUUGGACUCUCUCCUCGAGGUCGCUCCCUCACUCUUCUCCUCCGCUGCCUUCCACCGUGAUCUCCUCGGAGCCCCCCGCUCCUCCACAUUCCGCCAGUACACGCGCUUGACCGUCUCGGUCACCGGGGCUGCUGCCGCCGUAUCCCUCAAUGGCAACGCGCUACUUAAGACUUACGACCUAGUCGCUGUCCGUCCUCUGAACCAGGAAGCUUUUGACAAGGCUUGUGAAUCUUCUAUGGUUGAUAUAAUUACAUUGGACUUCUCUCAAAAACUUCCAUUCCGUCUGAAGAUUUCAUCCAUUAAGCUUGCUAUUCAGCGUGGACUAUAUUUUGAAGUUACAUACUCUCAUCUUAUAGCUGAUUCUCAUGUUAGAAGGAAGAUCCUAUCUGAUGUGAAGCUACUAUCUGACUGGAGUCGAGGGAAAAAUCUCCUCAUUUCUAGUGCUGCUUCAACUGUUAAUGAUAUUCGAGGGCCGCUUGAUGUUGCAAACUUAGCAGUAUUUUUGCUUGGUCUGUCUGCUGAGCGAGCGAAAUAUACUAUUUCUCAAAAUUGCAGGUCACUGCUAGCUAAUGCUAUAAGGAAAAAGCGCUUUUAUAAGGAAACUAUCAGAAUUGAAAGAAUCAUAUCAGAUGGGCAAUCCACUGCAAAAGAAUUUCAGCUUGAUAACUGGAAUGAAUGGGACGCCAUCUCCAGUGAGAAAGGAGAUUUGCCAUCAUUGAAUGAUAUUAAAAAUCUUUCUGUUUUUACUUGCAAACAAUCUUUUGGUUUAAAUUCAAUUGAUUUCCAGUCGAUACCUACUGAACCACCACUUUUGCUUAGCGAGAAUGCCAAAAUGAUGUCAUCACCAAGGAAUUCUGCAUCACCUGUUGUUACUCCCCAUGAACCUUGUGUUGUUGCUGAUGAUGUCACACAAGAUGAUUCAUGUAUCGGAACUUUAUUAGCUGAUACCCAGAAUUGCCAACCUGUAAUGGUUGAUAAAUGUGUAAAGAUACCAGAUGGAUUAUAUAAGGUUUCUUGUACUGGCCUACUGGUUUCAGCUAUGGCUGCAUCGAAUGUUGAUGAUAGAAUUAUUCAACCUGAUGCUAACCUAACAGACUCAGCUGUUGUGAAGAACAAGUCAUCAGAAACUGAUUUGGUGGUUCAAAAAAUUUCAUAUCAGUCCAAUAACCAUGCCUUUGAGUCUUUAAAUGAUUCUGCAGAAUUCACAAAUGGUAUCCCUAAAAAUGGAGAUCCAACAUCUGAACCUUGCAAGAAAACUGAUAAUAGUGGUGUCUUUCUACUGUCAAAUGCUGAUUCAACACCCACAAUUAUCAAAGACAACAAAUUUGUAGAGUUCCAGAAAAGCUUGAAUAGGUUUGAUGACCAUGUUUUUGAAGCUUCAAAUAACUCUGGGAAGAGUAUGAACCUUAGCGCGCAUGUUACAAGCGAUCAGUUAUCAUUAAGUGAUAAAUGGCCUGAUUUUACUGAUUUUAAGGAGAAAAAUAUUCUGAAAGUGUGUGAUUCAUCAAUGAUUUUUAUACCUGAGCUGAAAGAAAAUGAUCUGAUAGAUACAAGCCCAACAUGUAGAAGUCCUGGAAGACCUUUACUGUGUAACCAAGUAGAUGGUUCCAUCUCAUCUGGAGAGAAUUUUCUGCAAAAGGUUUCUUUUAAUGAGAUUGAAGAGCAGGAUGUUGGUUUAUAUUUAAAUAUCGACAAUCCUGAAGUGAAAAAUACUACCGUACUCAAAGAAAAGAUACAAAAGUCAAACGACAAAUUAGGAAAAAGGAAACGGAAAGAACAAUUGUUUUAUCCGACUUAUCAUUUGCCUUUUAAGGGUUCAUUUAAGCCUAUGCUUUUUAGGAAUAUCUGUUGCAAUGCCAAAAGAAGAAACAUUUGUAAGGAAAGAUGAUUCCUUAUUAUUUGUAGAUUUGGCUGAUUUUCCAUCUGAAGACACUGACGAUAAUUUUUGCAUACUGACCUGAAAUUUUGAUCAACCAUCUGUAAAAUAUCCUUAAAUAAUGUGUAUUUCUUAAAUUGUAUUAUCUAUACCGUGCUGUUUGAUCACACCUCUUUGAUUGCCACAUUGCCUCUCUUCUUCAAUGCCUUUGCCUGGAUGUUUCAUGUUCUUGUGACUCAUGUAUCUGCCUCUUCAUUUCUGUCCGCGACCACACACAUGCCACUCAUGUGUAUCCGUACUCAUUGCAGGCAAUCUAGUGUAGCAUGAACGAGUUAAAUAUAUUGAAGUUGACUGGGACUUCAUAUGACAUGCUGUUGUGUCUAAUAAUAUCAACACAACACAACACAACAUGAACUUUUACAUUGCUUGGUCUAAAUAUGAGAAACUUAAUAUGGUAAUUGCUACUUAGUCAUAGUCUAAACAGUUAAGGUCUUAUAUUCUUUUGUUUCUUGGCUUGGCCACCAUGCUUGUAGCAUGUUAUCUUGGCCUAUACUUGGUCCUGCUGACUGACUUCCUGACUCUGGCUGAGCACUGGAGUUUCACUAAACUUUAUCAACUUGUCUUGUUUUAUUAUUAUUAUUAUUUUUAAAUUUCUUGUAUGAGUUUGUCUAAUCAUAUUGAAUAGAUAAACUUUCCUUGUUGCAAUGGAGUAUGACAUUGUGUGUAUGAGGGAGGGAAAUGCAAUUUGGGAUGGAGCCAUGUGCAUCAUAAAAGUUUGUCUCCUGAGUGCCCUUUAAUUCAGUAUCAUUCAAUUUUAUUAUUCCAUAAACCAAUUCGAGGAUUAUUUUGGAACUAGCGCAUUAAGAUAAUUAGCUGAGAGCAACUUUCAGCUAGAAUGCUUAGGGUUGUUGCAUUGGUCAUGCAUUGAGAUUAUGAGACUUCAUGUGUAACUCAAAUGCUUGUCUUGCACUAAGACCGUUAACAACUUUUGGGAAUCAGGAUUAUGAGCACACUACCUUACUCCAACAGAGGGCAUAUUUGGCCUUGACCAAAGAAUUAGUUUUCUGUAGGACCUAGAUCUAAUAAUUGAUGCAGAAUAUUUGGCAAAAAAUCUUUGCUAACUCCCUAUCCAUUCUUUUCAUAAUUCAUUUUCCAAGACAGAUAUGCUUUUGAGGUUGAGAUGAAUCACCAAAAUUUUUUGGCAAAAUCACAAAAUUUCUGUAAGCUUGGAGUAUUGUAAUGAUUUUCCACUUUAACACAAAUUGGAGAUUCCUUUUGUUGGAAACUGCAAGUCGAUAUUAUAUGGUGAUAUCAAUGAAUUUCUUAGUCUUUGCUCAUCAAGUGGUUCAAUAUUUGCAGCACUACCAAAGAAACAUCUCUUUGAACUUUUUACAAGUCCCUUCUAUCAUAUCAGGUGACAUUCUGCACUUAUUUUGGAUUUCAUUGCCAAAUAGCUUAAGCACCCAAAUGCAUUCUGCAAGUUCAGCGUCACCUCACAAUAAUUGCAUUUCCACUUGGGUUUAGUGGUGCAACUAGGUCACCUGUCGACCUUCUGAUGGUAAAGCUUAAACUACCAAGGAAUAGAUGGUAUCUUAGUAUCCUACUUAUAUAUGCUGCUGCCAAUCAACCAAAGCAAAGUUGCGCAAGAACGUUAGAUUGCAUGCACUGUAAUUUAAGAUGUUCAUCAUGAGCUAACAAGUUAGAUUAUGUAAUUCCUGUCUGCAAAAUCUCAAUAUUAUAGCUGCUAUCAAUCAACCAAAGCAAAAUUGAGCAAGAAAGUUAGAUUGCAUGCUCUGCAACUAAAGAUGCCCAUCAUCAGCUAAGUUAAAUAAUGUAAUUCCUAUCUGCAUGAAUCUCAACAUUAUUGCAUUUAGUCAGUUUAACUGAUUUCUUGUCUAUUUGCCCAUUGAUGAUGAUACGAGCUUCAAUCAGCUCUAGAUAACAGUGAGAUGGUUUAACAAGUUCUUACGAUGCAUCUUGUGAGCGUUAAUGAUUUCAUUUCACCCAUAUAUCUGUUCUCUUCGUGAUUAUAUUUCACGAUAAUUUAUUCAUGUGCAUUCUUUAAUCUUUUGCAUGGGAAGAGUCAACUUAUCAUUGCCAGCUGUGAAAUCCUUGGGUGUGCAUGGGCUAUAUCAUGUUGGGUUGGUCAUGACCACUUCAAGUUGGUUUGCUGAAGUUAGUGUUGUGUUAUGUCAGUGUGAUACUAACCCUUUUGUGUUGUCCUUGUGUAUCAUGCAUGGAAUGCCUGGUGAUUGUGUUUGAUUGGCUUAGAUCCUACUGAUUCUUUUAUGUAUUAAUCUACAAUCUAAAGAACACAAGCCUCUUCCUGUACAUAUGUUUGCCAAUAGAUGACUGGAACGACAUUGGCAUUUCUUCUACAACUUUAUUAUCCUAAUCCCUUUACGGGCAGCCAAAUUCAAAGACCAAUCAAUUUCUUCCACAGAAGCCUCAGAAAUAUGCUCCAUGAACCUGGUGAAAUGAUUAGCCUAGUGGAAUCAUAAGCAGGGAAAGUUGCCUGAUCACUACAUGAGCUUCUGUUCAUUGGAAAAGUGGUAGGUCCAUACAAAUUUAGUCAACUGCAAUUUGAGUAGCUUUGAUGUGCAAUAGAGCCAGGAAGAAACACGUGAUGCAUUAUCUUCAAAUAUUCUUUAAAUUAAGUGGGUCCUCUGGUGUGACUGAAUAAUCUGCACUGGAAACGUUUCAUCUCCGCAAUCAUAUCCUGUUUGCUUCAACUCCACCUGUUAUCUGAUGCAAGGAAGCUGUGAUCAGAGAGUUUGAAAAUAUGUAGCUGAUCUUAUCUGUUUCCAGGCCAUGAGUUAUGGUUUCAAAUAGGGAAUGGAACAGCAGAAUCCAUCAUCUUCUUGCAAAGUAGGAAUCCCCCAUCAUUGGAGGGCACUAAACUGGACUAUCUAUCAGUGCUCUAGAGUCAAAAGGUGGCAUGGAUGUUCUGAGACAUACUUUUUGAUCUUAUGAUCUUGGUAUAUUGUUGUGUGACACAUGCUCUUAUAUGGAGCUGAUUAUGUCAUGGCCAUCUCUUGAUUAUAUGCCAUAGCUGGCUAACCUCAUUUAUCGAACAUUUUCUGAUGGCUGAUCAGUUCACGCAUAUUAUGCUCUGCUUUGUUUCAGAACGGUACUUGUUAUGAAGUUCCAACACAGUUUGAUUGGUUCAUUUAUUUUGGAGGAUUCGGUUUGGAUAGAAUGGACAUUUGUAGUGGUUGAUGCACGUGAAAGUGUGCUUGAUCAAAAGUUCUAGUUUAUGAUUGCAGUGAAGUGGAGGGCAACAGGCUAAGGAUUCCCCAACUGUUGAGAUUUUCCCGGUGGUGAGAAAUCUGUGGGCCACGUUAAGGCAUGAGUAGAGAUGAAUGUGGAGUCUUUGGGGGAGUUGACUAUAUCAGUCGGGUCUUAUCAAGGAUUGGGGGAGUUGACUUUCUGAUAGGGGAGCAUCUUUGGUGUUGAUCGAGUUAUGUCCACUGUCUUACGAGAGAAAUGGCGUACUCCCUAACAAUCUUAGUGGUGGUUCUGGUUCAUGCAGUGGCGGCAUCAUGCUUCUGUAGAUGUGCGGGGAGGAUAGAUUUGGCUUAAGAAGAACAUGCUUGUCCCUUGCGUCCAAGAAAUUUGUUCAUGCUUGCUGGCAGUGUUUUUGGAAGCUUGACCCAUGAGUAAAUCGUUGGUUUGGUUUUAACAUAGUUGUUUGGGUUCUUGAACAAGAUCAGGUUCGAUUUCUAAACAUUGACAUAUUUAAUUUGUCUUGAUCUGCAAAGUCAGUCAAGAAGAUGAAUCCUUUUUCCCCCC